rnacentral:rRNA from 1 species
GGGUUGUGAGGUUAAGCGACUAAGCGUACACGGUGGAUGCCCUGGCAGUCAGAGGCGAUGAAGGGCGUGCUAAUCUGCGAUAAGCGCCGGUAAGGUGAUAUGAACCGUUAUAACCGGCGAUACCCGAAUGGGGAAACCCAGUGUGAUUCGUCACACUAUCAUUAACUGAAUCCAUAGGUUAAUGAGGCGAACCGGGGGAACUGAAACAUCUAAGUACCCCGAGGAAAAGAAAUCAACCGAGAUUCCCCCAGUAGCGGCGAGCGAACGGGGAGGAGCCCAGAGCCUGAAUCAGCAUGUGUGUUAGUGGAAGCGUCUGGAAAGGCGCGCGAUACAGGGUGACAGCCCCGUACACAAAAGCGCAUAUGCUGUGAGCUCGAUGAGUAGGGCGGGACACGUGGUAUCCUGUCUGAAUAUGGGGGGACCAUCCUCCAAGGCUAAAUACUCCUGACUGACCGAUAGUGAACCAGUACCGUGAGGGAAAGGCGAAAAGAACCCCGGCGAGGGGAGUGAAAAAGAACCUGAAACCGUGUACGUACAAGCAGUGGGAGCCCCACCACUAAGCCAGUGGUGAACUCCACAUACGCAUCCUUUGCUGAGGAGACGGUUAACGGAGCGAAAGCGACGUUCAACCUCAAAAGAAGCAGAGGGGGCUUAGUGGUGGGGUGACUGCGUACCUUUUGUAUAAUGGGUCAGCGACUUAUAUUCUGUAGCAAGGUUAACUGUAUAGGGGAGCCGGAGGGAAACCGAGUCUUAACCGGGCGUUAAGUUGCAGGGUAUAGACCCGAAACCCGGUGAUCUAGCCAUGGGCAGGUUGAAGGUUGGGUAACACUAACUGGAGGACCGAACCGACUAAUGUUGAAAAAUUAGCGGAUGACCUGUGGCUGGGGGUGAAAGGCCAAUCAAACCGGGAGAUAGCUGGUUCUCCCCGAAAGCUAUUUAGGUAGCGCCUCGUGAAUUCAUCUCCGGGGGUAGAGCACUGUUUCGGCUAGGGGGCCAUCCCGGCUUACCAACCCGAUGCAAACUGCGAAUACCGGAGAAUGUUAUCACGGGAGACACACGGCGGGUGCUAAUGUCCGUCGUGAAGAGGGAAACAACCCAGACCGCCAGCUAAGGUCCCAAAGUCAUGGUUAAGUGGGAAACGAUGUGGGAAGGCCCAGACAGCCAGGAUGUUGGCUUAGAAGCAGCCAUCAUUUAAAGAAAGCGUAAUAGCUCACUGGUCGAGUCGGCCUGCGCGGAAGAUGUAACGGGGCUAAACCAUGCACCGAAGCUGCGGCAGCGACACCGUGUGUUGUUGGGUAGGGGAGCGUUCUGUAAGCCUGUGAAGGUGUGCUGUGAGGCAUGCUGGAGGUAUCAGAAGUGCGAAUGCUGACAUAAGUAACGAUAAAGCGGGUGAAAAGCCCGCUCGCCGGAAGACCAAGGGUUCCUGUCCAACGUUAAUCGGGGCAGGGUGAGUCG